AGAGUUUGAUCAUGGCUCAGAUUGAACGCUGGCGGCAUGCCUUACACAUGCAAGUCGAACGGCAGCACGGAGCUUGCUCUGGUGGCGAGUGGCGAACGGGUGAGUAAUAUAUCGGAACGUACCCUCGAGCGGGGGAUAACUAGUCGAAAGAUUAGCUAAUACCGCAUACGAUCUACGGAGGAAAGCAGGGGAUUCGCAAGAACCUUGUGCUCGUGGAGCGGCCGAUAUCUGAUUAGCUAGUUGGUAGGGUAAAAGCCUACCAAGGCUUCGAUCAGUAGCUGGUCUGAGAGGACGACCAGCCACACUGGAACUGAGACACGGUCCAGACUCCUACGGGAGGCAGCAGUGGGGAAUUUUGGACAAUGGGGGCAACCCUGAUCCAGCAAUGCCGCGUGAGUGAAGAAGGCCUUCGGGUUGUAAAGCUCUUUUGUCAGGGAAGAAACGGUGAGUUCUAAUAUAGCUUACUAAUGACGGUACCUGAAGAAUAAGCACCGGCUAACUACGUGCCAGCAGCCGCGGUAAUACGUAGGGUGCAAGCGUUAAUCGGAAUUACUGGGCGUAAAGCGUGCGCAGGCGGUUAUGUAAGACAGAUGUGAAAUGCCCGGGCUCAACCUGGGAACUGCAUUUGUGACUGCAUGGCUAGAGUGUGUCAGAGGGGGGUAGAAUUCCACGUGUAGCAGUGAAAUGCGUAGAUAUGUGGAGGAAUACCGAUGGCGAAGGCAGCCCCCUGGGAUGCCACUGACGCUCAUGCACGAAAGCGUGGGGAGCAAACAGGAUUAGAUACCCUAGUAGUCC
rnacentral:rRNA from 1 species